rnacentral:rRNA from 1 species
GACGAACGCUGGCGGCGUGCUUAACACAUGCAGGUCGAACGGAAAGGCCCUGCUUUUGUGGGGUGCUCGAGUGGCGAACGGGUGAGUAACACGUGAGUAACCUGCCCUUGACUUUGGGAUAACUUCAGGAAACUGGGGCUAAUACCGGAUAGGAGCUCCUGCUGCAUGGUGGGGGUUGGAAAGUUUCGGCGGUUGGGGAUGGACUCGCGGCUUAUCAGCUUGUUGGUGGGGUAGUGGCUUACCAAGGCUUUGACGGGUAGCCGGCCUGAGAGGGUGACCGGCUACAUUGGGACUGAGAUACGGCCCAGACUCCUACGGGAGGCAGCAGUGGGGAAUAUUGCACAAUGGGCGGAAGCCUGAUGCAGCAACGCCGCGUGCGGGAUGACGGCCUUCGGGUUGUAAACCGCUUUCGCCUGUGACGAAGCGUGAGUGACGGUAAUGGGUAAAGAAGCACCGGCUAACUACGUG